rnacentral:misc_RNA from 1 species
AUGCGAUAAGUAAUGUGAAUUGCAGAAUUCAGUGAAUCAUCGAAUCUUUGAACGCACAUUGCGCCCGCCAGUAUUCUGGCGGGCAUGCCUGUUCGAGCGUCAUUACAACCCUCAGGCCCCCGGGCCUGGCGUUGGGGAUCGGCGGAAGCCCCCUGCGGGCACAACGCCGUCCCCCAAAUACAGUGGCGGUCCCGCCGCAGCUUCCAUUGCGUAGUAGCUAACACCUCGCAACUGGAGAGCGGCGCGGCCACGCCGUAAAACACCCAACUUCCGAAUGUUGACCUCGAAUCAGGUAGGAAUACCCGCUGAACUUAA